rnacentral:rRNA from 1 species
GUGGGGAAUAUUGGACAAUGGGCGAAAGCCUGAUCCAGCCAUGCCGCGUGUGUGAAGAAGGUCUUCGGAUUGUAAAGCACUUUAAGUUGGGAGGAAGGGCAGUAAGUUAAUACCUUGCUGUUUUGACGUUACCGACAGAAUAAGCACCGGCUAACUUCGUGCCAGCAGCCGCGGUAAUACGAAGGGUGCAAGCGUUAAUCGGAAUUACUGGGCGUAAAGGGUGCGUAGGCGGCGUGGUAAGUCAGAUGUGAAAUCCCGGGGCUCAACCUCGGAACUGCAUCCGAUACUGCCAUGCUUGAGGGCUGGAGAGGUAACUGGAAUGCUCGGUGUAGCAGUGAAAUGCGUGGAUAUCGAGAGGAACACUCGUGGCGAAGGCAAUCCCCUGGGCCUGUACUGACGCUCAUGCACGAAAGCGUGGGGAGCAAACAGGAUUAGAUACCCUGGUAGUCC